CCUACGGGAGGCAGCAGUGAGGAAUAUUGGUCAAUGGGCGCGAGCCUGAACCAGCCAAGUCGCGUGAGGGAAGACGGUCCUAUGGAUUGUAAACCUCUUUUGUCGGGGAGCAAAAGACGCCACGCGUGGCGUUCCGAGAGUACCCGAAGAAAAAGCAUCGGCUAACUCCGGGCCAGCAGCCGCGGUAAUACGGAGGAUGCGAGCGUUAUCCGGAUUUAUGGGGUUUAAAGGGUGCGCAGGCGGAAGAUCAAGGCAGCGGUAAAAUUGAGAGGCUCAACCUCUUCGAGCAGUUGAAACUGGUUGUCUUGAGUGAGUGAGAAGUAUGCGGAAUGCGUGGUGUAGCGGUGAAAUGCAUAGAUAUCGCGCAGAACUCUGAUUGCGAAGGCAGGAUACCGGCGCUCAACUGACGCUCAUGCACGAAAGUGUGGGUAUCGAACAGGAUUAGAUACCCCAGUAGUC
rnacentral:rRNA from 1 species